rnacentral:rRNA from 1 species
CCAGACUCCUACGGGAGGCAGCAGUGGGGAAUAUUGGUCAAUGGGCGGAAGCCUGAACCAGCCAAGUCGCGUGAGGGAAGAAGGCCCUGCGGGUCGCAGACCUCUUUGGACGGGGAGCAAGGCCGCCGACGUGUCGGCGGAAGGAGAGUACCCGUAGAACAAGCAUCGGCUAACUCCGUGCCAGCAGCCGCGGUAAUACGGAGGAUGCGAGCGUUAUCCGGAUUUAUUGGGUUUAAAGGGUGCGUAGGUGGUUAAUUAAGUCAGCGGUGAAAGUUUGUGGCUCAACCAUAAAAUUGCCGUUGAAACUGGUUGACUUGAGUAUAUUUGAGGUAGGCGGAAUGCGUGGUGUAGCGGUGAAAUGCAUAGAUAUCACGCAGAACCCCGAUUGCGAAGGCAGCAUACCGGUGCACAACUGACGCUCAGGCACGAAAGCGUGGGUAUCGAACAGGAUUAGAUACCCUUGUAUA